AUGGUGAGAAGCUGCUGCACAAUCCAGCCACUCUUCCCCAGCCACCGUAACUGGGGAGCUACAUAUCACAGAUGGAACAUCAAAAAAAUAAUGGAGCCUGUAUCCUUGAGAUGGAGUCUCACUCUGUCACCCAGGCUGGAGUGCAGUGGUGGAAUCUCAACUCACUCUAACUUCCGCCUCCUGGGUUCAAGCAGUUCUCCUGCCUCAGCCUUCUGAGUAGCUGGGAUUGCAGGCAGACACUACCAUGCCUGACUAAUUUUUGUAUUUUUAGUAGAGAUAGGAUUUCACCAUGUUGGUCAGGCUGGUCUCGAACUCCUGACCUCAUGAUCUGCCUGACUCAGCCUCCCAAAGUGCUGGGGUUACAGGCAUGAGCCACCGCAUGUGGCUUCAAUAUUUUUUCUUUUCUUUUCUUAUUUUUCUUUUCUUUUUUUUUUUUUUUUUUUUUUUUUUGAGAUGGAGUCUUGCUCUGUCACCAGGCUGAAGUGCAGUGGUGCGAUCUCGGCUCACUGUAAUCUCUGCCUCCUGAGUUCAAGUGAUCCUCCUGCCUCAGCUUCCCAAGUAGCUGGGAUUACAAGCACGUGACAGCAUACCCAGCUAAUUUUUGUAUUUUUAGUAGAGACGGGGUUUCACCAUGUUAGCCAGGAUGGUCUCAAUCUCCUGACCUUGUGAUCCGCCCACCUCGGCCUCCCAAAGUUUUAUAGACAUGAAAAAGAUGCUUGAAAAAUAAAACAAAACAAACACAAAAAACCAACACUUGUGUGGUGUGGCCAAGGGAAAAAAUAUGGAAGGAGAGACAGUGUAUGUGACCAGGAAUUUAAUAUUGUUUCUCUGGAACUUGUGAUGUUUGUGUUUUGUGUUAGAUUUUAAAUUUUAUAAUAUAUUGUGAUUUCCUUUCUCUUUCUUUUUUUUUUUUCUUCAACAUUUGUGUUCCAGGAUGCACGUGCAGGAUGUGCAGGUUUGUUACACAGGUAAAAUUGUGCCAUGGUGAUUUGCUGCACAGAUCAACCCAUCACUUUGAUAGUAAGCCCAGCAUCCAUUAGUUAUUCUGGAGGCUCUCCAUCCCCACAUCCCACCCGCUGACAGGUCCCAGCAUGUGUUGUGCCCCAACAGGCAUUCAUGUGUUAUCAUUAAGCUCCCACUUAUAAGUGAGAACAUGCAGUGUUUGGUUUUCUGUUCCUGCGUUAGUUUGCUGAGGAUAAUGCCUUCCAGCUCCAUCCAUAUCCCUGCAAAGGAACAUAAUUUUGUUCCUUUUUAUGCCUGCAUAAUAUUCCAUGGCCAUUGUGAACAGGGCAAUAAUGAAAAUUUGCAUGCACAAAUAUUUAUAAUAUAAUUUAUUUUUUCAUUGGAUCUGUGAGUGUGUUUCUUUUUUGAUUUUUUAUUAUACUUUAAGUUUUAGGGUACAUGUGUACAACGUGCAGGUUUGUUAUAUAUGUAUACAUGUGCCAUGUUGGUGUGCUGCACCCAUUAACUCAUCAUUUACAUUAGGUAUAUCUCCUAAUGCUAUCCCUCCCCCCUUCCCAUGACAGUCCCCAGUAUGUGAUGUUCCCCUUCUUGUGUCCAAGUGUUCUCAUUGUUCAAUUCCCACCUAUGAGUGAGAACAUGCAGUGUGUGGUUUUCUGUUCUUGCAAUAGUUUGCUGAGUGUGAUGGUUUCCAGCUGCAUCCAUGUCCCUACAAAGGACAUGAACUCAUCCCUUUUUAUGGUUGCAUAGUAUUCCAUGGUGUGUAUGUGCCACAUUUUCUUUAUCCAGACUAUCAUUGAUGGGC
ensembl:lncRNA